UCGCCCUUAGAGUUUGAUCCUGGCUCAGGACGAACGCUGGCGGCGUGCUUAACACAUGCAAGUCGAACGAGAAGAAAUGAGAAGCUUGCUUCUUAUUGAUUCGAGUGGCAAACGGGUGAGUAACACGUAAGCAACCUGCCCUCUAGAUGGGGACAACAGCUGGAAACGGCUGCUAAUACCGAAUACGUUUUUUCUGUCGCAUGGCAGAGAGAAGAAAGGGAGGCUCUUCGGAGCUUUCGCUGGAGGAGGGGCUUGCGUCUGAUUAGCUAGUUGGAGGGGUAACGGCCCACCAAGGCGACGAUCAGUAGCCGGUCUGAGAGGAUGAACGGCCGCAUUGGGACUGAGACACGGCCCAGACUCCUACGGGAGGCAGCAGUGGGGAAUCUUCCGCAAUGGACGAAAGUCUGACGGAGCAACGCCGCGUGAACGAUGACGGCCUUCGGGUUGUAAAGUUCUGUUAUACGGGACGAAUGGUACGACGGUCAAUACCCGUCGUAAGUGACGGUACCGUAAGAGAAAGCCACGGCUAACUACGUGCCAGCAGCCGCGGUAAUACGUAGGUGGCAAGCGUUGUCCGGAAUUAUUGGGCGUAAAGGGCGCGCAGGCGGCGUCGUAAGUCGGUCUUAAAAGUGCGGGGCUUAACCCCGUGAGGGGACCGAAACUGCGAUGCUAGAGUAUCGGAGAGGAAAGCGGAAUUCCUAGUGUAGCGGUGAAAUGCGUAGAUAUUAGGAGGAACACCAGUGGCGAAAGCGACUUUCUGGACGACAACUGACGCUGAGGCGCGAAAGCCAGGGGAGCAAACGGGAUUAGAUACCCCGGUAGUCCUGGCCAUAAACGAUGGAUACUAGGUGUAGGAGGUAUCGACCCCUUCUGUGCCGGAGUUAACGCAAUAAGUAUCCCGCCUGGGGAGUACGGCCGCAAGGCUGUAACUACAAAUGAAUUGACGGAAGGGCGAAUUC
rnacentral:rRNA from 1 species